GACGAACGCUGGCGGCGUGCUUAACACAUGCAAGUCGAACGGAAAGGCCUCUUUCGGGGGGUACUCGAGUGGCGAACGGGUGAGUAACACGUGAGUAACCUGCCCUUGACUUUGGGAUAACUUCAGGAAACUGGGGCUAAUACCGGAUAGGAGCUCCUGCUGCAUGGUGGGGGUUGGAAAGUUUCGGCGGUUGGGGAUGGACUCGCGGCUUAUCAGCUUGUUGGUGGGGUAGUGGCUUACCAAGGCUUUGACGGGUAGCCGGCCUGAGAGGGUGACCGGCCACAUUGGGACUGAGAUACGGCCCAGACUCCUACGGGAGGCAGCAGUGGGGAAUAUUGCACAAUGGGUGGAAGCCUGAUGCAGCAACGCCGGGUGCGGGAGGACGGCCUUCGGGUUGUAAACCGCUUUCGCUCAUGACGAAGCUUUGUGUGACGGUAGUGGGUAAAGAAGCACCGGCUAACUACGUG
rnacentral:rRNA from 1 species